GGGUGACGGAGUUAGAUCUUGUAAAAAAGGCAAACGUAUGUUUAUUUUUUUUGUAGUUUUAAAUGCCAACGUAGAAAAAUACCUGCAACAAGACCAAUAUAUAACCAAUCAAAAUCUUUAUAUUUUUUUCUUUUAACUUUUAUUCAAUAAAUUUCUACUAAAGAAAUGCUCCAAAACGCCGAUAAACGUUAUAUGUAUCAUAUUAGCAAGGAAUCGAACCGAACACUAAACUAUC
rnacentral:lncRNA from 1 species